CUUUCAGUCCGUUAGGUAAAAGCAGCCCGUCAAUCUGAUUCCAGUGGCGUGAACUGACAGAGUUUGAGGGGUGUUUCGUAGCUGAGGAUGUGGACUAAAGGUCAUUGUCCAAAGGCGAGGCUGGUAGCAAAGACGGCCACCAAACUGUGGUCCAGCAAGCCCCCAGAACCUUCCCGCCCUGUCCCUUCUGCUCAGCCCCGGCCACAAGUCCAAAAACGCAGACGCAGGCAAGGACGGGAAAAGACUAUUCUGUCAGCUCAACAUAAUAAAGUUGGAGAUCAAACAUUAAACUGGAGUGAAAAACAGAAAAUAGCACACACGGCUCAAACACCUGCUGGGACAAAGAAAGGGAUAC